CAUUCAGAUCACUAGAGGACGAAAAUUCCUUCUAAAGUUUAUAAGCCUUAAAAUUUAUUAUCAUUUUGAGAUAAUAUUGAUGAGGACAUUACCCCUUUGUGCUGUUUUAUGUUUAUUGCCAAUAAAAGAUAAAAUACAGAGUAAAGGGGGUUAAAACAGUAUUUUGCAAAGCAGGCCUGAGAUUUACUUCGAGCUCCAGUGACAGAUUAAUUUCUGUGUCAUAAAGAGGAGAGUACCUCUCAUAUUUUUUCCGUUUUAUGUGGAUGUACAACAUGCUGUUCUUCUCGAAGGCUCUGGCCCAUCGGGACCCGCGCGGAAUCCGGAGGGAACUCUCUCCCGGAUUGAAACGACGCAAUUUAGCACGGCAAACGCCGGCAUUCAAUCAUUCAGAUGAGACCUGGAGCCCAUGAAUGUCAAAGGGAGACCACAUCACCAACAACACGAGGAGGCCUCGAUGAAAACACGCCGGUGAAUCUGUCAGGUCUUUCAUGGCGGGAAAGGCUGCCCCACGUGCCCCUGUCUCAACUGCCCUGGGGAACACGUCACACGCGCUGGACCUUGGCCGUGUUUGCAGUGAGGCGCUGAUGAGAGUCGCUGACUCUGAAGAGGACACUUCAAGUGUGAUUAACAGUGGAGGAACGCGGAGAGCUGCGGCGGCUGCUAAUUAACCCUGCAUUGUGCUCAGCCGACAAAGAGACAAAAGAACAAAGUCGAAUUUGAAUGCGGCAGAUUAUCACGAUAACAAAAGACAAAGUAGUGGAUCGUGCUCUUGACGGGGAAUUUUCACACUGAUCGUCACAACAUGGGAUUGGAUCAAAGACCGAUGGAGUUACAUUAGCGGGACAAUGGGGCCUUGUUAUUCGACAACAAGAGGCAUCCAUCUGCAUGUCACAGGGGCCUAUUUUAGUCAACUAUCAGCUUCCUCUGCAGUUGAAUACAGUGUGGUAGAUUUCAAAUGUACAACGAUGAAGCCCAGGGGCUGAUGGAUGUUUCUUAGCAGUUGAUGGAUCUCGUAUGUUUCCACAGUGGUUUCAACUGGUUUUGCUUCAGGACCCAGAUCAAGUAGUGAACCAAUGGAACAAAAAGUUAUAAAUAUUACCACAAACAGUAUGCUAAAUUAUUAAUAUAACUUAAACCUUUUCUUUCUUUCACAAAAGAAGAUAUUUCGAAAAACGUCUCGGUGUAUUUUGUCCAUACAAUAAAAGUCAUUGGAGACCAGUGUUGUUUUGGACCCCAUUGAAUUUUAUUGUAUAGAAAAAAGUUGAAACAUUCUUCAAAAUAUCUCAUACUGAAAUAAAUCAUACUGGUUUGUAAUAACAUGGGGCAAGUAAAUGGUUAACUAUGUGUACUUUGAAGUACUGCGCACAUUCAUACUUUGGCAGGUGUUCAGAUAGGCCUGAUGAAGACCUUGUUUGGUCAAAAUGCUGCAAUAUAUUAAAGUUUUAUGGGAGCAGGUUAAGCAGUGAUAUGGGUGUGAUAUUUUACGGAGUGGCUAAUUUGUACAAAUUUGUAUGACCUCACUCGUAUGAAUUCAUACGUUUUUUUGCUAAAUUGUACGCAUUUUACAAGUUGCCAAAUCCGUAUGGAUUUGUACAAAUGACCUACCUCUAACCCCGCCCCUAAACCUACCCAUCACUGGGGUUUAGGCAAAUCGUAUGAAUUCGUACGAAUGAC